rnacentral:rRNA from 1 species
UACGAAGGGGGCUAGCGUUGUUCGGAAUUACUGGGCGUAAAGGGCGCGUAGGCGGCUUCGCUAGUCGGGCGUGAAAUGCCUGGGCUUAACCCGGGAAUUGCGUUCGAUACUUCGAGGCUAGAGUGUGGGAGAGGUUGGUGGAAUUCCCAGUGUAGAGGUGAAAUUCGUAGAUAUUGGGAAGAACACCAGUGGCGAAGGCGACUACCUGGCCUGUUCUUGACGCUGAGGCGCGAAAGCUAGGGGAGCAAACGGG